GAAGGCUGAAAUUCGCCUUCAUGAAGCUGGAAUUGCUAGUAAUGGCAGGUCAGCAUACUGCCGUGAAUACGUUCCCGGGCCUUGUACACACCGCCCGUCACACCAUGAGAGUUGGAAAUACCCGAAGCCUGUGAGCUAACAGUAAUGAGGCAGCAGUCGAAGGUAGAGCCAAUGAUUGGGGUGAAGUCGUAACAAGGUAAC
rnacentral:rRNA from 1 species